rnacentral:rRNA from 1 species
GAUGGACGCUGGCGGCGUGCCUAAUACAUGCAAGUCGAGCGAACAGACGAGGAGCUUGCUCCUCUGACGUUAGCGGCGGACGGGUGAGUAACACGUGGAUAACCUACCUAUAAGACUGGGAUAACUUCGGGAAACCGGAGCUAAUACCGGAUAAUAUAUUGAACCGCAUGGUUCAAUAGUGAAAGACGGUUUUGCUGUCACUUAUAGAUGGAUCCGCGCCGCAUUAGCUAGUUGGUAAGGUAACGGCUUACCAAGGCAACGAUGCGUAGCCGACCUGAGAGGGUGAUCGGCCACACUGGAACUGAGACACGGUCCAGACUCCUACGGGAGGCAGCAGUAGGGAAUCUUCCGCAAUGGGCGAAAGCUUGACGGAGCAACGCCGCGUGAGUGAUGAAGGCCUUCGGAUCGUAAAACUCUGUUAUUAGGGAAGAACAAAUGUGUAAGUAACUAUGCACGUCUUGACGGUACCUAAUCAGAAAGCCACGGCUAACUACGUG